ensembl:lncRNA
CACACUUCCUUCAAUGCCCCACGCUCGAGAAUACCUCGCAGACUGGAUUGACAAGGGGGGAAGGAAGCUGAGUGCUGGCUGUUUGGUGCUUCGUUACAGUCUGACGGGAAACCCGGAGACAGAGAGAGCGAGAGAGUGACACAGAGGGAAGAAAGAAGCAAGGCUCAGAGGAAAUCAGGUGAGCAACACACACCUUUUAUUGCUUGACUUGACUGUCCCUAAAGAUGUUUUUCUCUCACCGAGAUUUGGUCAAUCUUUUUUUCUUUUCUGUUUUCACUUUUCCAAUUGGACCAAUAUAACUGUAGGGUGCAAUUAGUUUUGCUCUUAA